rnacentral:tRNA from 1 species
AGGAUAAUAGUUUAAAUUUUAAAACAUUUAAUUUGCAUUUAAAAAAUCUAAAAAUUUUAAUUAGUUAUCUUA